rnacentral:rRNA from 1 species
UUGCGCUACCUGGUUGAUCCUGCCAGUAGUCAUAUGCUUGUCUCAAAGAUUAAGCCAUGCAUGUCUAAGUUCAACUUUUUUGAAGAGAAGACUGUGGAAAGCUCAUUAAAACAGUUAUUGUUUAUUUGAUGAUUGAAAACCAAAUGGAUAACUUUGGUAAUUCUAUAGCUAAUACAUGAGAAAAGUUACUUGAAAGAGUAAUGUGCUUAUUAGAUACCAACCAAACUGCUUUUGCAGGAACGGUGAGUCAUAGUAAGUGAUCGAAUCGCAGGGUGUAUACCCGAUGAUGCAUCAUUCAAGUUUCUGACCUAUCAGCUUCCGACGGUAAGGUAUUGGCUUACCGUGGCAGUGACGGGUAACGGGGAAUUAGGGUUUGAUUCCGGAGAGGGAGCCUGAGAAAUGGCUACCACAUCUAAGGAAGGCAGCAGGCGCGUAAAUUACCCAAUUCUGACACAGAGAGGUAGUGACAAGAAAUAACAAUACAGAAUACUUCGUAUUCUGUAAUUGGAAUGAGUGCAAGGUAAAACUUUGCGCGAGUAUCAAUUGGAGGGCAAGUCUGGUGCCAGCAGCCGCGGUAAUUCCAGCUCCAAUAGCGUAUAUUAAAGUUGUUGCAGUUAAAAAGCUCGUAGCUGGGUCGUUGGUCUAUCUCUGUUGCUGGCUUAACUGUCAGCAAUGGACGAUUUUCCAAUUUUUGGUGUUUGGUGCUCUCUGAGUACUACUAUACCAAAAUGUUACUUUGAGUAAAUUAGAGUGUUCCUAGCAAGCUAUUGCCAUGAAUACUGCAGCAUGGAAUAAUAAGAUAACUAUUGUACUUCUUGUUGGUUGACGUGCAAUUGUCAUGAUUGAUAGGAACAGCUGGGGGCAUUCGUAUUCAACAGUCAGAGGUGAAAUUCUUAGAUUUGUUGAAGACGAACUAAUGCGAAAGCAUUUGCCAAGAAUGUUUUCAUUAGUCAAGAACGAAAGUUAGGGGAUCGAAGACGAUCAGAUACCGUCGUAGUCUUAACCGUAAACUAUGCCAACUAGAGAUUGGAGGAUGUUAAUUACUGACACCUUCAGAACCUUAUGGGAAACCAAAGUCUUUGGGUUCUGGGGGGAGUAUGGUCGCAAGGCUGAAACUUAAAGGAAUUGACGGAAGGGCACCACCAGGAGUGGAGCCUGCGGCUUAAUUUGACUCAACACGGGGAAACUCACCAGGUCCAGACAUAGGAAGGAUUGACAGACUGAGAGCUCUUUCUUGAUUCUAUGGGUGGUGGUGCAUGGCCGUUCUUAGUUGGUGGAGUGAUUUGUCUGCUUAAUUGCGAUAACGAACGAGACCUCUACUUACUAAAUAGCAGAGGGAACUACGGUUCCUUCGGGCUUCUUAGCAGAACUUCGUAUGUCUAAUACGAGGAAGUUGGAGGCAAUAACAGGUCUGUGAUGCCCUUAGAUGUUCUGGGCUGCACGCGCGCUACACUGAUACAGUUAAUGAGUUACUUUUCCCGAUUGGAUAAGAGAACUCUUUGAGUCUGUAUCGUAAUGGGAACAAACGAUUGCAAUUAUUCGUUUCGAACGAGGAAUUCCUAGUAAGCAUGAGUCAUCAGCUUGUGCUGAUUACGUCCCUGCCCUUUGUACACACCGCCCGUCGCUCCUACCGAUUGGAUGAUCCGGUGAGUUAGUCUGACAACAGAGACGCAGAUUCUGUGCCUUUGUUGGAAGACUCGCGAACCUUAUCAUUUAGAGGAAGGAGGAGUCGUAACAAGGUCUUCGUAGGUGAACCUGCAGAAGGAUCA